rnacentral:tRNA from 1 species
GAGGCGUUAGUAAAACAAUUACAUAGCCUUGUCAAGGCUAAAUCAUAGGUGAGACCCCUAUACGCCCCA